rnacentral:rRNA from 1 species
GCCUAAUACACGCAAGUCGAACGAGAUCUUCGGAUCUAGUGGCGCACGGGUGCGUAACGCGUGGGAAUCUGCCCUUGGGUUCGGAAUAACUUCUGGAAACGGAAGCUAAUACCGGAUGAUGACGUAAGUCCAAAGAUUUAUCGCCCAAGGAUGAGCCCGCGUAGGAUUAGCUAGUUGGUGGGGUAAAGGCUCACCAAGGCGACGAUCCUUAGCUGGUCUGAGAGGAUGAUCAGCCACACUGGGACUGAGACACGGCCCAGACUCCUACGGGAGGCAGCAGUAGGGAAUAUUGGACAAUGGGCGAAAGCCUGAUCCAGCAAUGCCGCGUGAGUGAUGAAGGCCUUAGGGUUGUAAAGCUCUUUUACCCGGGAUGAUAAUGACAGUACCGGGAGAAUAAGCUCCGGCUAACUCCGUGCCAGCAGCCGCGGUAAUACGGAGGGAGCUAGCGUUGUUCGGAAUUACUGGGCGUAAAGCGCACGUAGGCGGCUAUUCAAGUCAGAGGUGAAAGCCCGGGGCUCAACCCCGGAACUGCCCUUGAAACUAGAUAGCUUGAAUCCAGGAGAGGUGAGUGGAAUUCCGAGUGUAGAGGUGAAAUUCGUAGAUAUUCGGAAGAACACCAGUGGCGAAGGCGGCUCACUGG